AUUGAACGCUGGCGGCAGGCCUAACACAUGCAAGUCGAACGAGUGGCGGACGGGUGAGUAAUGUCUGGGAAACUGCCCGAUGGAGGGGGAUAACUACUGGAAACGGUAGCUAAUACCGCAUACCAUCAGAUGUGCCCAGAUGGGAUUAGCUUGUGGGUGGGGUAACGGCUCACCAAGGCGACGAUCCCUAGCUGGUCUGAGAGGAUGACAAGACACAAUGGAACUGAGACACUGUACAGACGCCUACGGGAUGCAGCAGUGGGUAAUAUUGCACAAUGGGCGAAAGCCUGAUGCAGCCAUGCCGAGUGUAUGAAGAAGGCCUUCGGGUUGUAAAGUACUUUCAGCGGGGAGGCGUUACUCGCAGAAGAAGCACCGGCUAACUCCGUGCCAGAAGCCGCGGUAAUAC
rnacentral:rRNA from 1 species